ACAUUUGUAUCAUGCCAACACCGCUCGGUCGCGUUUAUUUCUUUAAAAAUAAUCUCGUGAUUAGUGCUAUGUUUUCGAAAACGGAUUUUCCGGAGGUAUGUGCUCUUCAUGCAUCGACAGCAAGCAAUAAAGAUCAAGCUGUUUCCGGGACAUCUCAAGAAGAAGCCUGGAAUGGAUAGAGUUCACCAGGCUAAUUCCUGCAGACACAACCAGAUCAGUUUAACAGGAAUUACCGGUGGAACUAAAUGUUGACCUGCAAGCAUCCAAGAAUAUACCUCGAAACUGCACGAUAUAUUCUGACCUAGAAAAACCAGUUUUUUUAUUUCAUUCAAGAAGCUUCCAGUUGAUUGGGAUGAUAGAAACCCCACUCUAGAGUGGGUUCAACUUCUUUACCGAUUGCCAUUAAGCCAGAGCUUCAUCCACUUCCGUCGAAAUACCGGGUCUCCAGAAAUGGAAGUCUCCCCCCAGUGGGCCGCCACCGUUCAUUCGGGAAGAGUUCCAACAUAGAUCGGCACUUGCCGAUCAUUUACCAUUUGUCGUGGUUCGUGGCGAAGCAUUGCGAAUAAUUUUGUAAUAAAUAAAUGAAGCAUUGCGAAUAAUUUUGUAAUAAAUAAAUGUUAUUUAUCCAA